rfam:Nicotiana sylvestris Nsyl_contig75411, whole genome shotgun sequence.
GAAAAUGAUGAUUGUUAUUGUCGCCCCAGUCUUAAUUUGCAUCCAAAAUAUUGGAUUUGCAAGAUGGUGAUUGACACAUCACAUAUGAUUC